GUAAAAUUUUUAUAGGUGAAAUUUUAAUAUUUUUAUUUUUAGUUGAUAUAUGUAACUAAUAUAUAAAAUAGGAUUAGAUACCCUAGUAUUUUAGGUUUAAUUAUUAAGUAGUAAAUAAUUUUUAUUAAACUUAAUUUUUUUGGCGGUUUAUUAUUCUUUCACAGGAAUUUGUUAAUUUUAAAAGAUAACCCGCUUUUAUUAUAACCAACUUAAAUUUUAUGUAUGGCUGUUAAGCUUUAAUUUAGUUAUUUUUGCUUUAAGAUUUAAGUUUCUUUAAUUCAGGUCUUUAUGUAGAUUAUAGGUUGGUUUUUAGUGAGUUACUAAAAUAGGUUUAUUUUGUUAUAUAAAUUAUUAAUGUGGAUGUGAUAGUAAAAUAAUAAUAAAAUUUUUAUUUGAAUUAGCACUUAAUAAAAGUACAUAUCGCCCGUCACUCUUUUGAUAGAUAAGUCGUAACAAAGUAGGGGUACUGGAAGGUGUUUCUUGUUU
rnacentral:rRNA from 1 species